rnacentral:rRNA from 1 species
AAGGAUCAUUAUCGAGUUUUGAACGGGUUGUCUGCUGGCUCGCAAGGGCAUGUGCACGCCUGUCUCAUCCACUCUCAACUUCUGUGCACUUUUCAUAGGCCGGCUUGUGGGUGCGUUCGCGCACUUGUAGGUGUCGGGCUUAUGCUUUAUUACAAACGAUUCAGUUUUAGAAUGUCAUACUUUGCUAUAACGCAAUUUAUAUACAACUUUCAGCAACGGAUCUCUUGGCUCUCGCAUCGAUGAAGAACGCAGCGAAAUGCGAUAAGUAAUGUGAAUUGCAGAAUUCAGUGAAUCAUCGAAUCUUUGAACGCACCUUGCGCUCCUUGGUAUUCCGAGGAGCAUGCCUGUUUGAGUCUCAUGGAAUUCUCAACCUUCGGCUUCAUUGACGAAGGCUUGGACUUGGAGGUCGUGCCGGCUCUCGUAGUCGGCUCCUCUGAAAUGCAUUAGUGCGAACGUUACCGACCGCUUCAGCGUGAUAAUUAUCUGCGUUGCUGUGGAGGGUAUUCUAGUGUUCACGCUUCUAACCGUCUUCGGACAAAUUUCUGAACUCUGAGCUCAAAUCAGGUAGGACUACCCGCUGAACUUAA